ACGGUUCGGCCGGGAACUUUAAGGGGACUGCCGGUGAUAAACCGGAGGAAGGUGGGGACGUCGUCAAGUCAUCAUGGCCUUUAUGUCCAGGGCUACACACGUGCUACAAUGGGCGGUACAAAGGGCUGCGAGACCGCAAGGUGGAGCCAAUCCCAAAAAGCCGCCCUCAGUUCGGAUUGCACUCUGCAACUCGAGUGCAUGAAGGUGGAAUCGCUAGUAAUCGCGGAUCAGCAUGCCGCGGUGAAUACGUUCCCGGGCCUUGUACACACCGCCCGUCACAUCACGAAAGUCAGUUGCUCUUGAAGUCGCUGCGCUAACCGCAAGGAGGCAGGCGCCUACGGAGUGGCUGGUGAUUGGGGUGAAGUCGUAACAAGGUAACCGUA
rnacentral:rRNA from 1 species